UACGGGGGGGGCAAGCGUUGUUCGGAAUUACUGGGCGUAAAGGGCUCGUAGGUGGCCAACUAAGUCAGACGUGAAAUCCCUCGGCUUAACCGGGGAACUGCGUCUGAUACUGGAUGGCUGGAGUAUGGGAGAGGGAUGCGGAAUUCCAGGUGUAGCGGUGAAAUGCGUAGAUAUCGGAGGAACACCGGUGGCGAAGGCGGCAUCCUGGACCCAUUACUGACGCUGAGGAGCGAAAGCCAGGGGAGCAAACGGG
rnacentral:rRNA from 1 species